UCUGGUUCUACUUUACGGUCUUAACUUAAGUUCGUGCAUGUCUUUAUAAUUUACUCAAACUGGAUAAAUCACAGAAGAUUGAUUCGAGUGAAGCUCUACUGUGAUAUUCAAGUUUGGUAUAUGUUUACCCCGUUAUUGAUAGGAUUUCAAACUCCUGAGUCCUGUGGAUAAAUAAAUCAGUUUUGGAAAUGGCAUUUAAAAAUCCUUCG
rnacentral:lncRNA from 1 species